rnacentral:rRNA from 1 species
AAUAUUUCUUAUAUCACAAUCGCAGAGAAACUCGCUAUAACCGUAACGGGGAGUGCCCGUAUAAAAGAAGAUAUCCAGGUGUUUAAAACGUGCUGAAGAAAGGAAAGGGCCCUUCGGUGCCAGCUUCCUUUAUUUUACCGCCGGCUCGAGUGGUGACCACUUUUACCCGUUUUAAAGUUUCCCUCCUGGCCUGUUAAACCCUUGGGAAAUCGGCCGGCUUAACCCGCGGUUGACGAAGGGAACUGCCCGGCUUGGAAACGGGAGAGGUAAAAGGUACUUCGGGGGUAGGGGUGAAAUGCCUUUUUCCCCGGGGGCCUCCCCCCCGGGGGGGCCCCCGGGGAUAACGGGAUUUACAUCUAACCACGAAAGCCCUUUUACCAAACCCGGAUUAGAUACCCGGGAAGUCCCCCCAGUAACCGAGGGGCGUAAGGGGUACCGUUUACCACGAGUUUUUCGGGGUGCCGAAGGGAAACCUUUAAACCUGACAAAAGUGAAGCACGUUCGGAAGCCCGAAAUUUAAAGGACUGGGGGGGCGAAACGUCCACGUCUUUUUAUCCAAAUGGAUUAUAACCUUUAGGGAGGCCUUAUUAUAAGCUCGCCCUAAUUUCGCUUAUAACUGUUUCCUGACUUGAAAAGUUUUCGCCGCCGGCUGCCCCCAAGGUUUAAUUUCAUUGCAAAUUUUCGCGCCCGCCGGACC